AGUUUCCAGUAGCUCACUGCCUGGCAUACAAGAAGUUGUGAUUACGUUGCCUCACCGUGUCUCUUCAUUUGCAAGACCUCCUAGCAGUCAACAGAAGAUGAACUUCAUUACCUGCAGACUGGACAGCAGAACAACAAAUAACCUGUAUACAAUUACAAUAAGUUGUUUCUACUUGUAACAAUGAUAAUAACGCUAUAAUAAAGGCCAUUUCAACCAACUAACAA